rnacentral:rRNA from 1 species
CAGCAGCCGCGGGAAUACAGAGGGUGCAAGCGUUAAUCGGAUUUACUGGGCGUAAAGCGUGCGUAGGCGGCUUCUUAAGUCGGAUGUGAAAUCCCUGAGCUUAACUUAGGAAUUGCAUUCGAUACUGGGAAGCUAGAGUAUGGGAGAGGAUGGUAGAAUUCCAGGUGUAGCGGUGAAAUGCGUAGAGAUCUGGAGGAAUACCGAUGGCGAAGGCAGCCAUCUGGCCUAAUACUGACGCUGAGGUACGAAAGCAUGGGGAGCAAACAGGAUUAGAUACCCCCGUAGUCCCUGUCUCUUAUAC